UUGGCUCUAAAUAAAGGCUGGUGGUUUUCUGAAGCUGUUGGUUUCAAGCAAGAGCCAAAAGUGGUAUCUUCUAUGGUCUGUUGGCCAUUUCAGAACUUUAUAGAUACUGUGAUCAAUUCAUUAGAAAGAAGCAAAU
ensembl:snoRNA small nucleolar RNA SNORA2/SNORA34 family